CGGGAUGUAGCCAAGUUGGUUAAGGCAAUGGAUUCUGAUUCCAUGACCGGGGGUUCAAGCCCUCCCAUCCCGU
rnacentral:tRNA from 1 species